GGAAUUCCCGCAGAGAUGUGGGAGUGCUCGAAAGAGAGCCAAGGACACAGGUGCUGCAUGGCCGUCGUCAGCUCGUGUCGUGAGAUGUUGGGUUAAGUCCCGCAACGAGCGCAACCCUUGCCAUUAGUUGCUACGAAAGGGCACUCUAAUGGGACUGCCGGUGACAAACCGGAGGAAGGUGGGGAUGACGUCAGGUCCUCAUGGCCCUUAUGGGUAGGGCUACACACGUCAUACAAUGGCCGGUACAGAGGGCUGCCAACCCGCGAGGGGGAGCUAAUCCCAGAAAACCGGUCGUAGUCCGGAUCGCAGUCUGCAACUCGACUGCGUGAAGUCGGAAUCGCUAGUAAUCGCGGAUCAGCUUGCCGCGGUGAAUACGUUCCCGGGUCUUGUACACACCGCCCGUCACACCAUGGGAGCGGGUUCUGCCAGAAGUAGUUAGCCUAACCGCAAGGGGGGCGAUUACCACGGCAGGGUUCGUGACUGGGGUGAAGUCGUAACAAGGUAGCCGUAUCGGAAGGUGCGGCUGGAUCACCUCCUU
rnacentral:rRNA from 1 species